GGCAGUUGCUUCCUCCCAGGGCCCUCCCAAGGGGGAACCAAACCUUCCUCCUCCUGAGUCUGCAGUGUGAGCUGAGCUUCAGCCCCGGGGCUCAGGGAGGGGCUGGGCAGUUCUUGGAAGGAAACUCAUUUGCAUGAGCAGCCCCUCCUCUGGCAGAGGGUGGAGAAGAAAAGGAGACCUGGGGCAGCCCAGGCCCACUGUUAGGGCUCAGGGGCUCUGUCCACCAUGGCCUGGACUCUUCUCCUUCUCAUGCUCCUCUCUCACUGCACAGGUUCCCUCUCCCAGCCUGUUCUGACUCAGCCAUCUUCCCAUUCCGCAUCUUCUGGAGCGCCAGCCAGACUCACCUGCACGCUGAGCAGUGGCUUCAGUGUUGGUGACUUCUGGAUAAGAUGGUACCAACAAAAGCCAGGGAGCCCUCCCCGGUAUCUCCUGUACUACCACUCAGACUCAGACAAGGGCCAAGGCUCUGGAGUUCCCAGCCGCUUCUCUGGAUCCAACGAUGCAUCAGCUAAUGCAGGGAUUCUGCAUAUCUCUGGGCUCCAGCCUGAGGAUGAGGCUGACUAUUACUGUUGUACAUGGCAUGGCAACUCUAAGACUCACACAGUGCUCCAGACCCAUGAGGAAGUCAGACAAAAACCUCCCUUCUAUUCUCCUGGCCUGGUGAAGUCACCCCUGCUGGUGACUCUGACCAAAUCUAACUCAGAGGGUGACAUCUGUUGUCACACCAAUAGCACUGGAGCUCCCACUGACAAGUAGGUCAAAUGAAGUCCUACCUUGCUAACAUUUCACAGGCAGACAUCCCUUGCUCAGGGGUAAAAUCUCUCAGUGUUGACAUAGAAGAAGGCAAGAGGGGUGGGUUGGGGUUCAUCUCAGCUCAGAGUCUAGAAGUGACUCAGAGAUGCUGCUGGUCUGAGUUUUAAUACGAGCCUUGGGAUACAAUACAGGGAUGCAGAAGGGAAUUGUAUUCUCCAUAUCAGUAAUGAACCAUCAGUAAUUGAAAAGUUAAUACAUUGAAAAUAGCAUAAAACAUGAAAUACUUUAGGAUAAGUAUGACAAAAAUUGUUGUUUUACACACUAGAAGUCAUAAAACAUUGCUUAGAUGCAGGUCUUAAAGAAGACCUGAAUAAAUGCACAGAUAAUCCUUUU